CAGUGUCCAGUGUUUCUACAGUUCUAGAUAUCAGAAUAAACUCAAACAGUGGUGCAGAUAUAAAGAUCAGAGCUGUUACACAGUGGGGAGGACUGACACAUCCCAGAAUCCAUCAGUCCAGAUCAGUGAUGAUGGGAGAAGAUCCUUCACUGUGCUGAUGACUGGACUGAGACUCAGUGAUUCUGGAUGGUUCUUCUGUUCUGUUGGAGAUCAACAGGCUUCUGUUCAACUCACGGUCACUGUUCCUGAUGUCUCUCUUGAAGAUCCACAUGUUCCUGUUACUGUUACUAAACCAAUUCCAGCAGUUAUGACCACAGAAGCAUUUGAGAGAAACAGGUUAGUAACUAAUUAAAUUUAAGAUUUAUAUUUUCUGUCAUGGGCUUGAUUAGAUGCUUAGCUAUCUGUAUAACAGUUCAAUUUAUUGUCUUUCUUUUUUUUUGUGGUGUUGUCUUUGCUUCUUUUUUUGUCUUUUUAUUUUGGUUAAUUUCUCUCUGUUGUUUCUUAGCAGAGAUGCAGCUCUCUCAUCUACAACACCAAUUAUCAACGAUACUACAGUGAACAGUCAAGAGCAGCAGAAUGAGUACUGAAAUAGCAUGUUCAUUGCUUAAAUUAAAACAUGCAAAAAUAAUAGAACUUUUAAAUGAACCAUACAGAAAUUAUUCUAUAAAUGAAUUAUGCUACUGUAACUUUAUUAAGGAUGGAAUAUUCUCCAUCCAGUUGGAGGAUGAGGAUGAACUUCAGCCGAUUUUAGAACAUCCUCAUUCUAAACGUCUCUUUUAACACCGGGUAAAAGAAUGUUUGAUACUUGUAAUUUAAAAGCAAGGUUACCUCUUUUACCCACGUUAAAAAGCGUUUGCGAUGUUAAAGAGAUAGUUCACCCAAAAAUGAAAAUUAUCAAGCCAUCCUAGGUGUUUAUGACGCAAGCUUCAAUAGUGAAUACACAGUAACAGUUUAAUAUUUUUGUUAUUUCAUUAUUUAUUGAAAUAUUAUAUUUAAUUAGACAUUUUUACAUAUAUUAAUACAAUUAUUAUUUUUAUUAAUAGUAAAUGGCGGCCUAACAACCCAGUAGCUACAUCAAGUGAGGCCAUUGUCCUCAUUUGCAUAUGCUGUAGCCUAUAUUGAUUUUAGUUUUCACAGAACUGCAAUGUGGCAGCCGUGAAAUGACUACAACAAUUAGUUGUUAAGAUCACAAUCUCGUUUGAACAGCUCAAAGCAAUUCAGAUAUUUAAUUUAGAAAUGCAGUGCAGCAAAUGAUGUAAAUCAAUAGUACAAAGAAAACAUUUCCAAUAAACCAGUGCAUAUAGACCUAUAAUAUCAGGAUGCGCAUUACCAGAACAUUUAUGCAAACAUAUACCAUGUGUAUUUCAUCCAAUCAGUGACACUGACACCGCAAAUAUGCAAAUAAGGACAUUAACCCAGGGUUUAGGAAUGUACAGUGUUAAACAGCAGUUUACAAAUAUCCAUUUAAUUGUUAACCGCAGGUAAAUUAUGAGCAGUGUGAAACGUGAAGGAAAAUAAUUCAGGAUUCUGUUUAUCUGGUGUUUGGUCCUGGGUUAAAGGUAGGGUUGAUGCGUACAAAAGGUGUACCACUGAUCAUGUCCCACAACACAAUCUGUGUUAACAAAUCGUAAACUCACGUGCAGUACACUGUAACGAUGUUUCAGUAUCCACUGUUCAUCUGACUCAUAACCAUGUGAGAGCAUUUCAAAGUACACUUCUCUAAAAAAAAGUAUAAUUCGUCUUGAUACACACACAAGGUGUGCUGCUAAUCAUUUCAUUCCAUUUUAAUACAUCAUAAACUCACGUGCAAUAUUUCGUACCAACCAUUCAGCAACUACUGCUCGUCCAUCCCAAGUUAAUCGGCACGGACAUUUACAGCACGCUUCUAAAAAUCAACUAAAUGAGAAAACAACAAAAUGAUUACACAGCUGGCAUUAUCCCGAACUGUUUGCAAAGUCAUCACAUUAAAAUUGCAUCAACAUGGUCAUCAAAACACCACAAACGAGCACCAAACAAAAUCUACUCAAAAUCAUAACUCCCAUUAAAAAAGAACUACCAGAACACGUUCUUCCAGCGACCAACAACCACCUGAACACCAAACAAUUCAGGCACUACACGCAUUCAACAAAGGAAAUGCUGUAUUUAAAGGCAAAGCAUACCUUCUACGAAUACGCACAGCAGCGCCCCCUGUUGACUUGGCUAUUUAAUGAUCACCGUCCCGGUGAGCAACCUAAGGGCAAAAAACAAAACACUACUGCCAAGGUCUAAAAGGGGUAAUAAGGGAGCUAACCUCUGCCAUACUAAUGGAGACAUUCAUAAUGCUAAAAUGUGCUCAACGGACAGCAACAGCACCCUCAGUUGAAACGGAAUAAUAGCAAUAGACAAAUUUGACAAACACUUCAGUGCGUAUUUGUGUUUGCUCUCUGGAGCAUCAAAGGUUUCUUUGCAGCCUGUUUUUGUGGUGCUGAGCAAUAUAGGCGAUCAUAAACAUGUCUGUUGAUCUCUUGAACGCAAUGGCCAAUCAGAGAUGUUUAAGUUAGGCAAAAUCCAGUCCGUUCAAAAUGCUAGUGUUUAUUUUUUUCAGUGCUGAGUUCUGCACGGGCAAUUAAUCCUCUUACUAUAAGUGUUGACACAAUGUAAAUAAUAAAUCUAUUGUUUGUAAUGUAAGUUUUAACGUAAAUGUGCACCAUUUUUGAGAUUAAUCAUCUGCUACAGGAUUUUCUUUUUCUUUUUUUGGUAUAGCAAAAAAUAGACUACACUAUAAUAAAACAGUAGCUACAUCAGUGAGGCCAUCGUCAUCUUUUGCAUAUGCUGUUGCCUAUAUCUAUUUUAGUUUUCGCAGAACUGCAUGUGUCUGCAUGUGUUUAACUUUAGAACUAAAAGUGGUUGUUCAGGUCGUCAGCUCAAAGCAAAUGAUGUAAAUCAAUAGUACAAAACAAACAUAGACCAGUGCAUUAAAAGAGAUUGUGUGUGUGUGUGUGUGUGUUUAUAUAUAUAUAUAUAAUAUAUAUAUAUACUAUGAUAGCUAUAAUAGAGUAUAAAAUGUGGUCGAAUUAUAGGAUGAACUGUAUACAUUUCAUGAUUUCUUGAUUUGUUCAUGAUCACAGGCAUUAUAAGGUAUCUGGAAGUGUGGAUUUCGGUUGUUCUAUUGCUGCUGAUGGCGGCUGUGGUUGUGUCAGCCAUAAUAUUGAGAAAUAAGCACAACAGAAAUAACACCCACAUCACAGAGGUGAACAGAGAUGGAGUCAGUGACGCAGGAAACGGUGUCAGUUCAUCAUCAGUGGUUGCAGAGAAUCACGUGACUUACAGCUCUGUGACAGUGCGACCUAAAACUAAAGCAAGCAGCCCAGUAUCUGUGGAGGACGAGGUGGUCUACAGCUCUCUGAACAAACAGUGAGAAGUUACAGGUUUGUUGAAGGUAAUAAUCACAUGAUGUUUUACACAGACACUGAACAUGUGAUUUCAUCUCAUUGUUUAAUCUCUUAAUCACAGGUUCAUGUUCCUGAGAAAAUAUGAACACAACAGCGCUGAACUUGAAACAAGCUAACAUUUUUUUAUUCCAUGUAUCAUUACAAAUGCAAAGCAAGCACAAUCUCAAUCCAGAAAAAAAAUACUAAUUGAUAAUAAAACAUAUGAAUUUAAUGAUCAUACCUUAUAAUUUACUGUCCCUAGUAGUAACAAAGUGUAAGUACAGUGCUUCCAUGUACAAAACAAGUGAUUUAGUCUGAAAAGAAGAUUCAGUUAAUUUCAGAGUAUUAUGAAGGGUGGAUUCUGGAAUUCACUGCCGCUUCAAUAUAUAUAUUUUGAGUGAUUUAUAAAUCAAGUUAUUAAUCAACAUUUAUCCUUCUAAAUAUUAAAUUAUUUGAAUGACUUCUUCAACGUAUUGUAUGUUAAAGCAUUUAUUUUCCUUUUAAUCUUCAACCACUAGAGAAUAAUGAUGAAUAUUGUCUGUACCUCUCACUGAGAGGAAAGUACAAAUUAUCAGUAUGUUUUGGAAUCUUUCCUGUUUAUAGUUUAAGCCUGGGCCAACUUCAACCUUGAAGAAGAUGUGAAUCAUGUGUAUCUUUGUAUGUGCUCUAAGUGUUCUGUACAGGUCCUUUAUGGGUGCGGGUGGACAACUGGCACUCUUCUCUGCAGAUGCCUUGUCAUGAUCUAGAAGGACAUCCUGUGCCUAAAUCCAGGGUUCAGGCAUCAGCAUCUUGAUGGAUGGAGAUAUGCUUCUGACUAUCUGUCCAUGUGUGGAUGAUUACUAAUUUUGUCUAUUUUUUUAUUAGCCAAUCAGAAUAAUUUUAGCUUAAGUAAUGACGUAGUUAGUAGACUCUGUUAGAGUAUAAUUGUUGUGGAAAUGUGAAUGUACGCACAGCGGCCUACGAACUCCUUGUGAGAAUUGAAGCUGGCUUCUGCUGAUGAAACUGCAAACUAUUCUUCAGUAAAAUUGUCUUUUUCUUUUUAACUCUGACUCUGGGUCUUUGUUCAUCAUAUCUGGUCUUUUGGGUCUUUAACUGUAAAAUUACCCUACAAUUAGCAUUAGUAAGGAAUCAGAUGUGUGUGUAAAUUGCUGAUCAUUAAAAGCAUAAAGCAUUCAUAAUAUAUUGCAAAGUUGUAAUGUCAAAAAUGUUGGUAAAUAAUAUUUACUUUUACGUUAUUUGAUAUUGUUUGAUACAUGGUAUGUAAAUAUUUAAGUGUACAUUAUCAAUUUAUUUUCAGACUUUUUUUGUAUAUUUUAAAAUGCAUUAAAAACAAAAAAAAACAACAAAAAAAAAAAAACAAAAAAAAAAAUUCAGGUCGGUGAAUAUGUUUCCAGCCUUCGCUCCACAGCGGUAUCCAUAUGUAAUAUAUAGGGCUUGUUACACUUGGCAUUAAUGUGACCUGUAUCCAGAUGUUGCCCACAUACACAUUGAAAAGACAAGUGUGAACGCAUUUGUGAUCGGUAAGCUAUCCGAUCUACAGUGGGUACGAAAAGUAUUCAGACCCCCUUAAAUUUUUCACUCUUUGUUAUAUUGCAGCCAUUUGCUAAAAUCAUUGAAGUUCAUUUUUUUUUUCCCUCUUUAAUGUACACACAGCACCCCAUAUUGAUAGAAAAACACAGAAUUGUUGACAUUUUUGCAGAUUUAUUAAAAAAGAAAAACUGAAAUAUCACAUGGUCCUAAGUAUUCAGACCCUUUGCUCAGUAUUUAGUAGAAGCACCCUUUUGAUCUAAUACAGCCAUGAGUCUUUUUGGGAAAGAUGCAACAAGUUUUUCACACCUGGAUUUGGGGAUCCUCUGCCAUUCCUCCUUGCAGAUCCUCUCCAGUUCUGUCAGG